CUUCAAAACCCACCUUCAAAUUCAAACCUUCGAUUCCCUCUCCCUUCAGAUCCAUAGCGUUCCACUCCAAUCCCACCCCAAAUUCCGAAUUCUUGCCGAAGAAAACCCCUGUUUCGCCUCUCUCUCUCUCUCUCUCGCAUUCAGUGUUUCUCUGCUUCUGUUACUUUCUCGGAGUCGUGUGAACAGAAAGCGGGGAUGAAGAGCUUUCUGUUCUUCCUAGGUACACCAAAGUUAAUGUAACAGGAAACUACAGAACAACAGAACAAGGUGUCGUCAAGAAGGCUGUUGGUCUUGGUGGUUGGCAUUGGCUGGUUGGUGAUGAUAUACGGAUGAUGAUCCAAGUUAGGUUUUUUUUCCAAUCAAUUUGUUUCGUAUGAAUAAAAAUUUCAGCAUCGACAACCACCCUCCCUUCGAACUCGCACUCGCACUCGCAAG